UAUUUCUCUCCCCACCUUUCUUAUUGUCUUUUCUCUCCCAUACUGACCCACAAGGGAAGUCAUUUUUCCUCAGUGUUUCACAGUGUCAAACUUUUUCAUGAAGUCAGUGCUAUUCUACUGCCCCACAAGAGGACUGAUCGCUCUCUUAAUGCCAUCAGCCGCACACUGUAAUUUCCUAAGUUCAAUUUAUUUAUGUCAUUACUUCAAUUUUCUGUGAUUAAUGUACAAAGUAUGGCUUUCCGUCGGCCUAAUAAAGGGGAUUUAUACCUUAAUGUACGCUGUCAAAUUCAGUACAAGAAAAUGAGAGUUUAGUCAUGAAAUGCCCCUUGCUACACAGGAGGCAGACAUCUUGUGAAGUUUUAAAAGCUGAAUAUGUGAUUUCUGGGUGGAUUGUUAAUAUCGUCUAAGAUUACAUCUCCAGCCGUCACUUAAGAGAUUUAUUCACGUUAAGAGCUAGCCGAUGGACAUGAAGGACUCUCCGUUGCAUCUCAUGAAUCCAUAAAUCGUUAUAUAAGUCUGGCUUGGGUACGACGUAGCUCUCUCUCUCUCUCUCUCUCUCUCUGUCCUUUGAACAUGAUAUCACUAGGUGUGUGUCCCAAAUGGCACCCUAUUCCCUACAGGGCCCAUAGGGCUCUGGGCAAAGUUGUGCACUAUAUAGGGAAUAGGGUGCCGUUUGGGACACAGACUCCACCUUUGAACAUGACAUAGUUAGAUCAGAAGUCCCCUCUUGAUGUUCAGAUAAAUAAAUCUGUUGAAUGUAGUAAUAUGUCAUAAUUAUUCAUAUGUAAUAAAUAAUAAUAUAAUAUGGUCUCAAUAGUCCUAUCAAACCAUCAAAUGUGUGUGCUCUUAACUUUGGUGAGAGUUGCGUAUCGCCACAUCCUCAGAGAUGGCUUCAGAUCCUGGUAUUGUAGAAAUGCGCCAAUGAACACACACACACAGUACACGUGCCUGACGUUGGCCUUGUAGCUAAGACCACCGCCCUCAGCACAUAUACGAUUCCACUGACUGUGUGGGCACGAAUCCCGGCACCUACCGGCCCAACUCAGCAUCUCCCUUCUCUCUGUCUCCCCUUCAUUGCAUACCGGUCUCUGUCAUUGAAAAAACAUACAGAAGGAGAGUGCAUAUCCACACAUAGCCAACUUCUUCAGUGUGGGUGGAUUAUACAACUACAGUGUGGGGUACGAGAUGCCAAUAAGAGAUCCGUGUUCUCAGGUGAGCAUCUAAACCCAAAGGUACUAGUCUGUCACAAUCAAUCAUAAUCACACCAAUAAGAUAACCCAAUCAACUGUAGUCAUAAUCAACAAUCAUCUCGCUGUCAUAUUCCUAUUUUUAAGAGCAUAUUAUUCACGCUUUACUCUUAAAACGGUUUCAUAUUUAUGCAAAAUACGGUAAAAUAUGCCUUUCACAAUUACAUCAUAAAAACGUGGUCUACCAGCCCGCUGGGCACAGAUGUCAAUUCAACAUCUAUUCCACAUUGGUUCAACAUCAUUUCAUUGAAAUGACGUGAAAACACCGUUGAUUCAACCAGUGUGUGCCCAGCGGGAGACAACCAAAAGGCAUUAUACAGUACCAGGUAGCAUGGACAUGAUUACAGUAUAUGGAUUUUAUUAUGAUUAUAUGAUUAUAUGGAUGAAAAAGCCAUCCAAUAAGACCGGAAAUCAAACAGUUUGUCAUAUACAGUACACAUUUUGAAAACUGUAACAUUUUUCAACAUUACUCAU
ensembl:lncRNA